rnacentral:rRNA from 1 species
UACGUAGGGGGCGAGCGUUGUCCGGAAUGAUUGGGCGUAAAGGGCGUGUAGGCGGCAGGUUAAGUCUGAUGUGAAAGUCCACGGCUCAACCGUGGGAGGUCAUUGGAAACUGGCCUGCUUGAGUGCAGGAGAGGUGCGUGGAAUUCCUGGUGUAGCGGUGAAAUGCGUAGAUAUCAGGAGGAACACCGAUGGCGAAGGCAGCGCACUGGCCUGUAACUGACGCUGAGGCGCGAAAGCGUGGGGAGCAAACAGG